rnacentral:rRNA from 1 species
CGGGGGGAGCAAGCGUUGUUCGGAUUUACUGGGCGUAAAGGGCGCGUAGGCGGCCUCCGCAAGUCAGUUGUGUAAUCUCCGAGCUUAACUCGGAAAGGUCAACUGAUACUGCGGGGCUAGAGUGCGGAAGGGGCAACUGGAAUUCUUGGUGUAGCGGUGAAAUGCGUAGAUAUCAAGAGGAACACCUGCGGCGAAGGCGGGUUGCUGGGCCGACACUGACGCUGAGGCGCGAAAGCUAGGGGAGCGAACGGGAUUAGAUACCCCGGUAGUCCUAGCCUUAAACGAUGAAUGCUUGGUGUCUGGGGUUAUAUAGUCCCCGGGUGCCGUCGCUAACGCUUUAAGCAUUCCGCCUGGGGAGUACGGUCGCAAGACUG